rnacentral:lncRNA from 1 species
AAAAACUCUUUUUGGUUUUAUUUAAAGAAAAACGGUAACUUCAAAUACCACCCAUACGGUUUCGCACAUUUUUACUUUAGUAUUAUAUAGUUUAAAAUGUAUCAAUUUAGUACUCUGUGGUUUUAUUUUUCUUUUUUUGUCAAUCCCUCCGUUAACUUUUUAUUAAAUCAUAUAUAAAAAACUUCAGAUACCCCACCUAUAGUUUAUUGGAUAUUCACUUUAGUACCCGUUAGUUUUAACUUUGUCAUUAAUUUUACAGUGUAUCAAUUUAGUACUCCGUGAUUUUAUUUUUCUCUUUUUAUCAAUCCCUCCGUUAACUUUUCAUUAAAUCAUAUAUAAAAACCUUCAGAUACCGCACCUAUAGUUUAUUGGAUAUUCACUUUAGUACCCUUUAGUUUUAACUUUGUCAUUGAUUUAACAAAAAAAUUUGUAGAGUAGAUAAUAAAAAGAGAAAAAUAAAACUAUAGGGUAAGAAAGUGAUAUAUUUUAAACCACAAGGUACUAAAGUAAGAAAGUACGAAAUCAUAUGGGUGGUAUUUGAAGUUUUUCCAAAGAAAAAAAGUUAAUAAGAAAGAAUGAGAAUAUGGGCCUUAGGAUGAGCAGAGUGUAAAUCUUACAUCUAAUUAAAGGGAUUCGUUUGGUUCACUUAUUUUAGACUCUGAAAUUGAAUAAGAUUUGUUGAUUUUGAUAGUUAUUGCUUAUUUUUACAAAAAAAUAAAUUUUAAUUCUCAUUUAACUUUGAAAUAAAAAUGAUCUAAUUCAUUUAUGAUCUAAUCUGAUUUUGACUUUUGGAUUGGUCAAUUCUAGAGUAAACCACUCGAAACCCUUUCUCACAAACCCCUCUUCCUCCUCGCUCUUGUUGACUCUCAUCUCUUUUAAUGAAAAUCUCUCUGUCAAAAUUUUAGGCAUAUCUAUUAUUUUUUUUUUCGAUUUCUAUUCUAAUAAUAAACCAAAUAUAUUUAGAUGAUUCGUUAUUUUAAUUUUUAUUGCAAUAUAAUUCAAUUUUAUUUCUCAUUUUUGUUCGAAUUAUGAACCAAAUAUGCCCAAAAGGUAACAAGAGCAUUGCUCAAUCCUUAUGGCCAAAAUAUAAAAAUUUCUUUCUAAAUAUCUGCUUUUGCACUUUACCUUCCAAUCUUUUAAAACCCUCUAUUUUUUUCCUUGAAAAUUAAAACCGUGACACUUAACUUCACACUGUUAUUAUUUCAUCACCAUUCUGCACAUCUAUAAACUUAUAUGAAACCACACUAUUUCUUGCCACAUGGCACGUUAUCUUUCAUUCUUAUAACCCCUUUUUGAAUUAAACCAUUUCUUAUCUAUAAUCUAUAACUUUGACCAUAUUUAGAAAGAACAAAAUAUGAAAUUUAAUGAUUAGUAACUGAUAUGGAUAUAUAAU